AUAUUGGACAAUGGGCGGGAGCCUGAUCCAGCCAUGCCGCGUGCAGGAAGACUGCCCUAUGGGUUGUAAACUGCUUUUUUACGGGAAGAAACACCCCCUCGUGAGGGGGCUUGACGGUACCGUACGAAUAAGGAUCGGCUACCUCCGUUCCAGCAGCCGCGGUAAUACGGAGGAUCCGAGCGUUAUCCGGAAUCAUUGGGUUUAAAGGGUCCGUAGGCGGGCGUCUAAGUCAGUGGUGAAAUCCCGCGGCUCAACCGUGGAAUUGCCAUUGAUACUGGUCGCCUUGAAUGGUCGUGAAGUGGCUAGAAUAUGUGGUGUAGCGGUGAAAUGCUUAGAUAUCACAUAGAAUACCGAUUGCGAAGGCAGGUCGCUAACGACGCAUUGACGCUGAUGGACGAAAGCGUGGGGAGCGAACAGG
rnacentral:rRNA from 1 species